rnacentral:rRNA from 1 species
AUUGAACGCUGGCGGCAGGCCUAACACAUGCAAGUCGAACGAGUGGCGGACGGGUGAGUAAUGUCUGGGAAACUGCCUGAUGGAGGGGGAUAACUACUGGAAACGGUAGCUAAUACCGCAUACCAUCGGAUGUGCCCAGAUUGGAUUAGCUUGUUGGUGGGGUAACGGCUCACCAAGGCGACGAUCCCUAGCUGGUCUGAGAGGAUGACGAGCCAAACUGGAACUGAGACCCGGGCCAGACUCCUACGGGAGGCAGCAGUGGGGAAUAUUGCACAAUGGGCGCAAGCCGGAUGCAGCCAUGCCGCGUGUAUGAAGAAGGCCUUCGGGUUGUAAAGUACUUUCAGCAGGGAAGCGUUACCCGCAGAAGAAGCACCGGCUAACUCCGUGCCAGCAGCCGCGGUAAUUC